rnacentral:rRNA from 1 species
UGGUGGAGCGAUCUGUCUGGUUUAUUCCGAUAACGAACGAGACCGUGACCUACUAAAUAGUGCGCGCAUCAUACAUUACUGUGCGCGUCACCUCUUAGAGGGACAAGCGUGCAUUAAAGACGCAUGAGGUACGGCAAUAACA